AGGCCACCGCCUGCGCCGUCCCCGCGGCCCGCAGGCCUGGCGCCCUCCCCCUGUGCCCCGCUGUGCGUGUCUUUUCCUGUUCCCGGUGGUCCUUUCCUGCCUCCUGCCCUCCUCGCUCUGCCUUCCCGCCCACUCCGCGCCCCGCAGCCCAGCUCCCUUCACCCCACUCCUGCCCUCUCUCCUCCUCCGCUCCUCGCUCCUCUGGGUUCGGCCAAGUCCAGAGCUCUCCGAAGCCUCAGCCUGCCCCGGGACCAGCCCUGCUUUCCCCUCCUGCCUCCCCGCUGGCCCGUGAGUUGGGUUUGCGCGGGUGUGCGCAGGCUGUCCUGGGGCCAAAGCCCAGUUUUGUCUCUUGACCCCUGGUAGAUAACUCGGGGACAAGUAUCUCGAAUCAUCCUUCGGGUCUCAGGGGAAGGUUCUAGGAGUGAAAGCAGACAAGAACAGUUCUGGGGAGACCCUUUUAUGCAAAAUACUUUCUCCCACUCUUCAGGAAGGGAGCCGAGGUCCCUUCCCCCCCCCCCCCCCCCCCCCCCCCCCCCGCCGAAUCUCUCAAGACACAGGACAGUUUGCGGCAGGACAGAUGCCUCGCAGCACGAGUGCUUCACCAGGCAUCAGGCGUUGCCAUGCUUUGGUUUCUUUGGUCUAAAUAUACCGGAGUUCAAACGUUCACUUCAGGAUACUUAAGGCCAGUGGGAAAUUCACACUCCAGAGGUACAAAAUGCCUGUCAAGGGGACUCUUCCUCUGCUGAGAAAGAUCUCACUAUUCAAGUGUCACCUUCAUCACCAAAGGGAACCUAACCCAUGGAAUCGAACUUGGCUUUGAGUCCUAGGAGAACGGAGAUAAUGUGUCUGUCUUGUUCACUCUGGAAUCCCUGGGGCCCUGGACAGGGCCUCCCAUGUGACAGGUACUUGUCCAGUCAUUGGGAUGCAAUAGUGGACAAAGCAAACAAAAUCUUUGCUUUCGUGGAGCUGAUAUUCAAGAGUUUUUGUGUGUGUGCACGCAUUUCUGAGGGAAACAGAGGACACAAAUAAAUGAGGUAUUACGUGAGUUGGUGAUGACUGCUAGGAAGAAAAAUAAAGCAGGAAUGGGGAUCAGGAAUGUGAAGGGGUGGGGAGUGAGGGCAGAAUGCCACUUUCAUUAGGGUCAUUUGAGAAAGUCUUCAAGAAGGUGACAUUUGAACAAAGAACUGAAAAGUGAGAGAGCGAGCCACGCAAGCACCUGAGGAAAACAUCUGCCGAACCUCUUUCUGUGAUGAUUUAGAAGACACAUCUGAAUCUUCCUUGCAGGCUAUCAGAGUUAUAAUAGUGAACAUGAAUCAACACUAUUUGGUGCAAUGGGGGAAAAGACGCAGUCUUUUAUUUGUUUGGAUUCCAGAUCAUCAGAAGUUAUGUCAACGGUCAUGCUGGCUCGGUAUGUAAUAAAAAAAAAAAAAAUACUGAUUUGAUUAUUUCAAUGCCUUAAUGUUUUUGGCAGCUAGUUCAUUUUUAGCUCAUAUUUACAAGGACAGCAUUGAAAAGCCUCCAGGGGGCAUUUCCUAGCCUCUGUGUGGCAUAUGGUCCCCACAGUGGGAGAGGGUCAGCUUGCAGAAGAGGGGAGGGAAGGAGGCCAA